UACGUAGGGUGCAAGCGUUAAUCGGAAUUACUGGGCGUAAAGCGUGCGCAGGCGGUUAUGUAAGACAGUUGUGAAAUCCCGGCGCACUGGAACCUGGACAUCUGUGACUGCAUAGCUAGAGUACGGUAGAGGGGGAUGGAAUUCCGCGUGUAGCAGUGAAAUGCGUAGAUAUGCGGAGGAACACCGAUGGCGAAGGCAAUCCCCUGGACCUGUACUGACGCUCAUGCACGAAAGGCGUGGGGAGCAAACAGG
rnacentral:rRNA from 1 species